rnacentral:rRNA from 1 species
GAUGAACGCUAGCUACAGGCUUAACACAUGCAAGUCGAGGGGAAACGAUAUUGGAAGCUUGCUUCCGAUAGGCGUCGACCGGCGCACGGGUGAGUAACGCGUAUCCAACCUGCCCACCACUUGGGGAUAACCUUGCGAAAGUAAGACUAAUACCCAAUGACGUCUCUAGAAGACAUCUGAAAGAGAUUAAAGAUUUAUCGGUGAUGGAUGGGGAUGCGUCUGAUUAGCUUGUUGGCGGGGUAACGGCCCACCAAGGCGACGAUCAGUAGGGGUUCUGAGAGGAAGGUCCCCCACAUUGGAACUGAGACACGGUCCAAACUCCUACGGGAGGCAGCAGUGAGGAAUAUUGGUCAAUGGUCGCGAGACUGAACCAGCCAAGUAGCGUGCAGGAUGACGGCCCUCUGGGUUGUAAACUGCUUUUAGUUGGGAAUAAAAGGCGGUACGUGUACCGCGUAAUUGUAUGUACCAUCNGAAAAAAGGACCGGCUAAAUUCCGUGCCAGCAG